GUGUGUUUGUGAAGCUGAGCUCUGUGUGUUUCUGUGUGUGUGUGUGUGUUUGUGAAGCUGAGUUCUGUGUGUGUGAGCUGAGCUCUGUGUGUGUGUGUUUGUGAAGCUGAUCUCUGUGUGUGAAGCUGAGUUCUGUGUGUGUGUGUGUGUUUGUGAAGCUGAGUUCUGUGUGUUUGUGAAGCUGAGCUCUGUGUGUGUGUGUUUGUGAAGCUGAGCUCUGUGUGUGUGUGUUUGUGAAGCUCAGCUCUGUGUCUCUGUGUGUGUGUGUUUGUGAAGCUGAGCUCUGUGUGUGUGUGUGUGUGUGAAGCUGAGCUCUGUGUGUGUGUGUUUGUGAAGCUGAGCUCUGUGUGUGUGUGUGUUUGUGAAGCUCAGCUCUGUGUGUGUGUGUUUGUGAAGCUGAGCUCUGUGUGUGUGUGUGUGAA